UCUUGGUCAUGUCUCCCUCAAUGACAUUUUAUUCUCAAUGGACCUGAGGUUAAGUUAUAAAUGUAAUGUACAUCCGUCACAUCAUCAGUCCAAAUGUGCCAAGUGUUCUCACCAGCGUUUCACUGAAUCCAAGCUCAAAUAUUAUUACCUCAUUGGAAGUUACUACGUAUGUACUACCCAUUUCCAUUCUGCUUUCCCACAAUGCCACAGGGCCCAGCAUGUGCAAUCUGUGCCCAGUCCCCUCUGAUCUAUUAUUAUUAUUAUUGAGUGGCUGUGUUAACAGGUCCAAAAUGACCAGUUGUGACAUUGUCUUGAGUAAGUAUCUGACCAUGUGUUUUUUUUUGUUAUAUCUGGGACAGAAAAUAAAGCUCCUCCCCUAGGAAAUGAAACUUGACUGUUUCAGUUUUUUGGGUACAAUAUCUUGUUACUCAGUAAGCCUACACUGUCCACCAGGGGCCUCUGAAGCUCUCUGGAAACUACUGCUGCUGAGAUUGGGGGAGGAUCCCACCAAUAACUACCUAUAGGACUGGGUGUGAAGUUCUGUGACGUGAGGAACUGCUGGAGUUGCUGCUGCUGUUGCUGCUGCUCGAGGAGAAGCUGUUUCUGCUGCUCUGACAGGAGGGAAGACCUGAAACCAAGCAACGACACACAUUUCAGAGUGGGUACAUACGGGCUCACACUCUUGGGAAGCUGGAAGCUCUGUGCCAACGCCUGAGGGUUGAGCGGCGGCGGCUGGGGGCGUAGGGCGGGCAGCG